rnacentral:lncRNA from 1 species
AUUUACAACUUGACCCAAAAUUUUAGAGAAAUUGCAAAAUUACCCCACUGGUAAUUUUUGUGAAAAAUUUUCUGACUCGAAGCGAGUCCACACUCGGCAGACGUGAGCUUAAGGAUAGCGGAGAAGACUACUCGAUCGAAGCGCUCAUCCUAGACGAAUCAAAAAGGUACAAUUUAGAUUAAUUGUUUAUUACUUUAGAUAUCAC